rnacentral:rRNA from 1 species
GUCCACGCCGUAAACGAUGUCUGCUAGCCGUUGGGUCGCUUGACGACUCAGUGGCGGAGCUAACGCGAUAAGCAGACCGCCUGGGGAGUACGGCCGCAAGGUUAAAACUCAAAUGAAUUGACGGGGGCCCGCACAAGCGGUGGAGUAUGUGGUUUAAUUCGACGCAACGCGAAAAACCUUACCUGGUCUUGACAUCCACGGAAUCCUGCAGAGAUGCGGGAGUGCCUUCGGGAGCCGUGAGACAGGUGCUGCAUGGCUGUCGU